GAGCACGUAGGUGGGUUUGUAAGUCAGAUGUGAAAGCCUUCUGUUCAACGGGAGAAUUGCAUCUGAAACUGCGAGUCUUGAGUGUAGGAGGGGAGAAUGGAACUUCUGGUGGAGCGGUGAAAUGCGUAGAUAUCAGAAGGAACUCCGGCGGCGAAAGCGAUUCUCUGGCCUAUUACUGACACUCAGUGUGCGAAAGCUAGGGGAGCAAACGGGAUUAGAUACCCCGGUAGUCCUAGCCGUAAACGAUGGGCACUAAGUAGAGGGGUUUU
rnacentral:rRNA from 1 species